UACGUAGGGUGCGAGCGUUGUCCGGAAUUAUUGGGCGUAAAGAGCUCGUAGGCGGUGUGUCGCGUCGGCCGUGAAAACCUGGGGCUCAACUCUGGGCGUGCGGUCGAUACGGGCAUCACUUGAGUUCGGCAGGGGAGACUGGAAUUCCUGGUGUAGCGGUGAAAUGCGCAGAUAUCAGGAGGAACACCGGUGGCGAAGGCGGGUCUCUGGGCCGAUACUGACGC
rnacentral:rRNA from 1 species